GAAGGCCCUCGGGUCGUAAAGUUCUGUUGUUAGGGAAGAACAAGUACCAGAGUAACUGCUGGUACCUUGACGGUACCUAACCAGAAAGCCACGGCUAACUACGUGCCAGCAGCCGCGGUAAUACGUAGGUGGCAAGCGUUGUCCGGAAUUAUUGGGCGUAAAGCGCGCGCAGGCGGUUUCUUAAGUCUGAUGUGAAAGCCCACGGCUCAACCGUGGAGGGUCAUUGGAAACUGGGGAACUUGAGUGCAGAAGAGGAGAGUGGAAUUCCACGUGUAGCGGUGAAAUGCGUAGAGAUGUGGAGGAACACCAGUGGCGAAGGCGACUCUCUGGUCUGUAACUGACGCUGAGGCGCGAAAGCGUGGGGAGCGAACAGGAUUAGAUACCCUGGUAGUCACGCCGUAAACGAUGAGUGCUAAGUGUUAGAGGGUUUCCGCCCUUUAGUGCUGCAGCAAACGCAUUAAGCACUCCGCCUGGGGAGUACGGUCGCAAGACUG
rnacentral:rRNA from 1 species